UACGAAGGGGGCUAGCGUUGCUCGGAAUUACUGGGCGUAAAGCGCACGUAGGCGGUCUUUUUAAGUCGGGGGUGAAAUCCUGGAGCUCAACUCCAGAACUGCCUUCGAUACUGGAAGACUCGAGUCCGGGAGAGGUGAGUGGAACUGCGAGUGUAGAGGUGAAAUUCGUAGAUAUUCGCAAGAACACCAGUGGCGAAGGCGGCUCACUGGCCCGGUACUGACGCUGAGGUGCGAAAGCGUGGGGAGCAAACAGG
rnacentral:rRNA from 1 species